rnacentral:rRNA from 1 species
AGUGAACGCUGGCGGUAGGCCUAACACAUGCAAGUCGAACGGCAGCACAGUAAGAGCUUGCUCUUACGGGUGGCGAGUGGCGGACGGGUGAGGAAUACAUCGGAAUCUACUUUUUCGUGGGGGAUAACGUAGGGAAACUUACGCUAAUACCGCAUACGACCUACGGGUGAAAGCAGGGGAUCUUCGGACCUUGCGCGAUUGAAUGAGCCGAUGUCGGAUUAGCUAGUUGGCGGGGUAAAGGCCCACCAAGGUGACGAUCCGUAGCUGGUCUGAGAGGAUGAUCAGCCACACUAGAACUGAGACACGGUCCAGACUCCUACGGGAGGCAGCAGUGGGGAAUAUUGGACAAUGGGCGCAAGCCUGAUCCAGCCAUACCGCGUGGGUGAAGAAGGCCUUCGGGUUGUAAAGCCCUUUUGUUGGGAAAGAAAAGCAGCAGGUUAAUACCCCGCUGUUCUGACGGUACCCAAAGAAUAAGCACCGGCUAACUUCGUG